UACGAAGGGGGCUAGCGUUGCUCGGAAUGACUGGGCGUAAAGGGCGCGUAGGCGGACAGCUUUGUCAGGCGUGAAAUUCCAGGGCUCAACCUUGGGGCUGCGUUUGAGACGGGUUGUCUUGAGUGGAGAAGAGGGUCGUGGAAUUCCCAGUGUAGAGGUGAAAUUCGUAGAUAUUGGGAAGAACACCGGUGGCGAAGGCGGCGACCUGGUCUUUUACUGAGCUGAGGCGCGAAAGCGUGGGGAGCAAACAGG
rnacentral:rRNA from 1 species